CAGGACCAGGUUCAAGCUAUGGUGGCGCCCCUUGGUAGGGUAGCGGGAAAUAGUAAUUUGACAUCUAGUUUUGUGACUUUUGCUUGUCAAAAAAAAAAAAAAUAACAAAUUAAUUGUUUGCCGAAAUUUUAUGUUUCCCAACCCAAGAAUAAAAAGAAAACAAUUUAACAAAAAUGGACAAUCUUCUUGAAAAAAAACAAUCGAUUGCCCUUACUGCUAGCCAAAAAUUCACUUCCUUGCAUUCCAGAAGGAGGAAGAAUAAAUUCAAUAAUUAUUCCCUCAGCAGACCUAUGGUGCAGAAUACGAAGAGUACUUCAAAAUAGUCUUCUCCACAUCAUGUUUUUUAACUUGCAUUCUCCUUUAAACAUUUUUCAUUUUUUUAUUUGAAUUUCAGUUAAAAAGGAAACUUUCUUUGAAUGUUCAGCAGGCAUAGCUCAUAAGUAACAAAAUUGUUACCAAACUAGAAGCUGACAUGAGUAAGCCCAAUAAACAAACAAUCUUACCUAUGUCAAAAAUCAAUGCUCUCUUCGUUAACCUCCCUGUGAGCAAAAUCAAAGGUCUUGGGGGGUAAAUUUGGCUUUGAUGUCUGUGAAAGACUGAUAGUCAAGAAUCUUGGAAAUUUGUUGAAUUUUUCUGAAGUUGAACUUUAGAAGAAACUCGACGGAAAAAAUAGAUUAUGGUUGCACUUUAUGUGCCGUGGAAUAGACCUGGAAGCUGUUACUCCUCGCUUCUACUCGAAAAGCAUUGGUUGCUGUAAAAAAUUCAAAUUUCGAAUGGAUUUAUUCUAUUCUGCGACUUUCUUCUCUUCCAAUUAAAUUAAAUAUUCGUGGGAGCUCAUAUCGAACAGCACCUUGUUUAUUUAACCAAGUAAAUCACAUCCUCCUCUUUCCGGAACAAUGUCGUCUAGUGGAAGAUUUCUAAAAAAUAGGGAAGUUCAAAAUAUUUUCUGUAUCGAAAUUAAAAAACCGAGCCUGGAUUCAUCGACGAAAAAAUUCUACUAUAUAUAUCACAAAACCUGUACCGACUACAUUAAGCAAAUUGUUUUAUUCCUACUCUUAAAAAAAUCUUCAUCCCAAUUCAUUCAUUAGUUGUAAAACAUUUUAUUCCCAUCCAUUAAAAAUCAUCAAGAAAUUCAAGAAAUAAUUGCACUAACAAAAUUAUUCUAAAUGAUGCAAAUGCAAAUGCAUUUGGAACAACGUUCUCAGCAACAAAUGGAGCUUAUUCUUUAUGAAAAUACAAAAGAAAAACUCAACCGAGCCUACAAGAGACUUGAGAAUGUUAAAAUGCUUACAAAAACUGUAUCCGAUGCACUUACGAAUGCCAAACUCAUAUGGAUAACUACACAAUUGGAUUUGGAACAAAUUCGUAACCGAUUUAGUAACUUGGAUGAAUUAAAUAUGCAAUGAAAAAUGUACAAACGCUUGUUUGUAUGAAUAUGAAAAGUUUGGAAUUCUUUUGAAACAUGCUUUGAAUGCAUUGAUAAAUAAGAAACCUUAUACGUCUGUUUUGGAUUUAAUCAAUGAACUCAAUCUUGAAGCCUUAUGUGUAUGAUAGUCCUGUUAAAUUGGCCAUGUUCGAACAAAUAAACUUACUCAAACCAAUUUUUAAUGCAAAAAUGAAUAAGAAACAUUUUGAAAUGGAUUUUCGGCAUUUGCGUUCUCAAUUCCAGGAGAAUAUUCAUGAAAAAAUGAACGAUGAUGCCUUGUUGCAAAAAAAUUACUAGAUGCCGUUGCUGAGGUUCGAAAAGCAGCUUUUAAAGUACCAGUAAUGACGGGAGUCAAAUCACUUGGGGGUACAAAGACAAAAUGAGGAGAAUCAAGUAUACCUUGAAAUGUUAUUAAUAUUUCUGUUCACCCUAUCCAUUCACUGUUCAUCUUAACAGCAAUCAUUUUUAAAGCAUUUAAUUAAGGACUCAAAUUUUGUAUGACUUUGUUUUAAAAAUA